rnacentral:misc_RNA from 1 species
GAUGAAGAACGCAGAGAAAUGCGAUAAGUAAUGUGAAUUGCAGAAUUCAGUGAAUCAUCGAAUCUUUGAACGCACAUUGCGCCCGCUGGUAUUCCGGCGGGCAUGCCUGUUCGAGCGUCAUUUCAACCCUCAAGCUCUCCGGAGUUUGGUGUUGGGGCGCCUGGGGCUUUUCGACCUCAGGGCCCUCAAGUCCAUCGGCGGGACCGCCAGGACACUGAGCGCAGUACUAUUAUUUCGCUCGGUAGGAUCUUCCACGGCGGGUCGAUCUGGCCGCUAAACCCCCCAAUUCUCACCAAAGGUUGACCUCGGAUCAGGUAGGAAUACCCGCUGAACUUAAGCAUAUCAAUAAGCGGAGGA